ACAAUUCUCCAUAUGGGCACAAAAUAUGGUCAAAAUGGCCACAAGAUAUGGGUAGUUACUAGUGCUCAGAAACGGCUUACUACAAAACCAGUCCCAAAUCUUGAGACCACCAUGCCGCCAAUUUAUAAAUGCAAAGAUUUGUAAAAACUCUAUAAAAUAUACUCUAAAUCUCUGUAAAAUCAGAGAAUGGUGAGAAAGUUAUUGUGCUUGGCGUAGAUGAGAAUGACUCCUGAAUGGAUCUUUUCAAGCAUGGUCAUCGCCCUCUCGUUCAUGUUCUAAACAAGUUGAUCGAGAGCCGAUUUUGACUUUUUCCCUCUUGGUCUUCUUUGGUUUGGCCAAGUAAAAUCUGCAGAAAAUGCUUCUAGGGCCAACAAGGGUUGAGGAGGGAGUUUGGCGACCAAGAAGACGGAAGACGAAGGGUUAGGGUGCGAAGAAGGCUGGAGAAGUGGAGUAAGGCGGCGGAGAAGGCCGAAGGAGGGGUGUUCGGCGGCAAAGAAGGUCGGAGGAAGGGGGUACGGUGGCGGCAAAGGCCAGAUGAAAGGGGAUUUGCAGACGGAGUAAGGUCUUGCGGCGGAAAAAUCCAGACAACACCAUUGUGGGGAUUUACGGUCUGUGGGAGGAGUGUGGGGUUGCGCGAGAUGGGAAUAGUAGGGUUUUAAGGGGGAUAGGAGACUAGGGUUUUGGGGGAUAUGUUUAGGGUUUUGGGGGAAAAGAAAAUAUUGGGUAUAUAUGGGUCCCGCUCCAGGAAAUGCACAGGUGGGCGAGAGAGCCCAUUUUCGCGAACUGCCAACCCUCAGAUAAGCAUGAGAUAUGGAUCAGUCCUUUGAAAAUUAUGCAUGUUGCUGACAUUCAAGAAUGGACUACCCGAAAACAAUGACGGAAAAAAGACACUGUUGAAUGUUUUUUUCGCAGCAUAAUUAACUGUUGCUAUGAUUUAGGAAGUACUGGUUUCAAAGAGAAAGUGAUAGUGGCUUUGAAGCAAGGAAACUUGGUAUAGUUACUUUUGGAAGAUGGUUGAAGAUGGUCGAUGAAGUUUGGACGGAGCCUGAAGUAGCAACUUCGCAAUUGGAGAAGAGUCCCAAAAAUGUCGAUGAAGUUGGGCCGGAGCCUGAAGUAGCAACUUCCCAGUUGGAGAAGAGUCCCAAAAAUCUGUAACUGAUCUCCCUGUGUAUCAGUAGAAGCAACUGUACAACAAACAGUUGUAAAUUUUUUUGAUUAGGUAUUUUCAUUGCAUCCCUUUUAUUUU